rnacentral:rRNA from 1 species
AUUGAACGCUGGCGGCAGGCCUAACACAUGCAAGUCGAACGAGUGGCGGACGGGUGAGUAAUGUCUGGGAAACUGCCUGAUGGAGGGGGAUAACUACUGGAAACUGUAGCUAAUACCGCAUACCAUCGGAUGUUCCCAGAUGGGAUUAGCUUGUUGGUGGGGUAACGGCGCACCAAGGCGCCGAUCCCUAGCUGGUCUGAGAGGAUGACCAGCAAACCUGGAACUGAGACACGGUCCAGACUCCUCCGGGAGGCAUAGGUGGGGAAUAUUGGACAAUGGGUGAAAGCCUGAUGCAGCCAUGCCGCGUGUAUGAAGAAGUCCUUCGGGUUGUAAAGUACUUUCAGCUGGGAGGCGUUACCCGCAGAAGAAGCACCGGCUAACUCCGUGCCAGCAGCCGCGGUAAUUC